GCACUGCUCCGAGUACCGGCGGGCUCCUGCCUCCAGCCCUGCGGGGCAGCACCGGGCCGGUACCUGCCGCCGGCUGCACCCGCUGGGGGCCGUGCGGCCUGCAGAGCUCCUGGCCUCGCACCUCGCCUCGCGCCUUGUGCCCGUGUCGGGGUAGGGACAGGGACAGGCACGGGCCACCGGCGCAGGAGUGGGACCGGUGGUGGGUUUGCACCCGCCAUUGCUGCCCUCUCGCAUUCACCUCCAGAACGUCUCCAUUCUUGGUACAUCUUCACACGUGGGAGCUGGAGAAACUGGUGUCUGGUGUGGUGUCUGUGUGAGCCCCAAGGGAUGGAGCGAUGGCCGUGGGGAUCCCACCGGCCACGGCCCGCGCGGGGUGAGGGGACCCUGCAGGAGAGUUGCCCUCACGCGGGUCAGGGUUUAAAACAGAACUAGUUGUUCCCUGGGCAGGCAGUGUUCUGAAUGCUUUAAGGAGGAAAAGCAGUAUUACCAGUUGUGAAAGGUGUCACAGCUGUGUGGAAGGUGGUGUAGUGUGGAGAUUAAGUUUAUUUUCUGGCCCAUCAUGCAUGUGUCAUUCUGGUGUGUUCAUGAGCAGCUUUGCGUGCUGUACACCUCUAGUAUGUCGUGCAUUAAAAGCCAUGCAUCAACUGAAAUAAUGUAAACGCUCCAAACUUGGGGCUGGCAAUAAAAUGCAUUUGCAAAAAGGAUUCAUUCUGUCUGCAAAACGUGGAUGAGGUCGUGGGUAACUGGCUUCAGCAGUGAAUGAAUUAACAAUUACUGUAAAUAUUUGUGCAAUUUACAUGAAAUGUCAGUCUAAUGUUGCUGUCCAGCACAAGGGCUUUCCCCUGGAUGGUUUUUACCUCAAGGGCUUUCAUUAUCAACAGUCUAAUGACUUAAAACUACUCUGUUUUCUUAGCUUGUGCAGGAUCAAGGGGUCAGAGAGUAUAUAUCAUGCUCUAGAGGGAAUAUACAAUUGGCGUGUCAGGAAAUACCCUUCUUUGGGCAGCUGAAGUUAGCUCAGUUGAAAAGUAUGCUGGAGAUUUAGCAAGAGAGUUGAAUGAUGUGAUGUGGAGAAUACUGGAGGUUUGUUUGUUAAAGUGGGCUAGAGAGAAUUCCCAGAUCACCACUACAGGCAAUUUGCCUCUGAGGUAUGCUGUAGAAAAUUCCUAGCAUAAACAGUAUCUGGCAUGAUGAGCAAUCUGGGCAUAAUUAGUAAAAGGGAAGCAUAUCAAAAAUCUAUCAGUCAGCACUGAGAACCUUUUUCAUUCCCUCACCUGCCCCGUUCUGUUGGUGGUGCUCAAGAUGAGCCUGACUGGAGCUUUGAGAGUCAGGAUUAAGUGUUUACAUUUUUCUUUUGUUUCAGGUGAAAGUUAACACAGGUGUCCAAAACCAAAACGUACUAGAAGAGUGUGCAUCUGCAGAAUGGAAUGUUCCCAUGGAGUCCUUGUAUUCUGUUGUCUAAAUUCUUUCCCUGUGUAUGGAUUGUUGAUGCAAGAAAAGAAAGCACAGUGGCCCCUUUGGAGCUCCUGUGGUCAUUCAGAAGAACCCAGUAUCUAUGUAUGUCAAAAAACUCAUGCUGAUGAGUGCAGGAUCCAGAAUUGUUGAAUUUACACCUCAGAGCUCAUCUACAGCUCCACCCUGACCUUCAUUAAUAGCACCAGAUCAGAUCAAAUAGCCAAAGUCAAUCUGCUGGGCUGUUCUAAACAACAAGGAGAGAAGGUAAUGUCCUUGAUGCUGCUACCAGUGAACCCAAGGGCAGAAUUAGGUACAACUUUGGAUGCUGUGAUGUUGAAGCCAGCUUCCUAAUUCCCAAGCAUGGCUAGCCCUAGAGGAUACUCUCAAGAAGCAGCAUAGAAGAAAAGUUCUAUCCUUGUAUGAAAGACCAGCUUUGAGGGCCAUUUCUUUCCUGUUAAGAGGGCAGGAAGACCAGGCCAUCUGUCACAAGAGCAGCAUCUAUAAGAAAAACUGCAUUAACUGCACUUUAACUCAUCUUCCUUGAUAAUUUCCUCACUUGUGGCUCCGACUGCUUCAUGUUUUAUUUCUGACAAACAAAAGAGACUUAUUAAAGCAGUGGUUUGCUUCAUUCAUUUUUGAAAUAAAAACUCAGUAAGUGAUGGGUUGUCAA